CCCACCUCUGCAACAGAGGAAGGCAUAUGAAGAGGAGGGUGGGAUGGCUACUGAACACUAAUCCACCUUGUCCACUCCGGGCCACUCCCUCAGUGGUUAAAUGUCCAUACAGUCUCUUCUUCCCAAACGUAUCUGGGUUGGAUACUCUGCAUCUUCAUCUUCAUCUUCCCUUUAGCUCAGGCACAAUCCCAUCUUGAUGUCUCACCACCUCUGGGGUGACUUGGAAAAUUAAUCAUGCCCUGCAAAACCCUUCAUUAAACAUUGAAGGCAAAGGGGAGGGAAUAAAAAGAAAAGCGGUUGAUAUCUGUGGUAUGUAAACAGCGAGGGGAAAAAUGACAGGCUACUGCAGUCCUCACCUUUGCUGUUGUCACAAGUCCAUAGUUGGUAUUUAUAGCUUCUUCCUCUACAACCCAUUUCAGGCCGUCUUUGCUCCCAGCAAGUUUGCUCAGGGGACCAGACUUCUUUGCCUGGUGGCAGGACCUACAUCUUCAUGCCUGAGGGGUCUGAAGGUCUAGAUUUGCUUAAGCUUCUCUAACUUUUGCCACUGGACGUGGCGGUACAAGGAGGUACCCCAGAGGCUCUACUGGCCCUCACGAUGCAAUAGCAAUCUCAAUUUUCUGAUUGUCAGAAACCCAGUGAUCAUGAGGAACUCAGUGACCAGGUGAAAGUCUUGCCUGUAGUACAGUGGAACCAUGUGUCCCCUGAAUGGAAGAGUCCAUGAAUCUCUAAACAACAAGUCAAAGUCAGAGAGAUGCAAAUAAUUUUUUUAAUAUAUGCUCAAGCUUGAUAAUGAGGUGCCUUUCCUGUGUCUAUCCCCUGGUUCCCAGAUCUAUGAGAUUUGCUGAUGGAAGAAACAAUCCCCGCAUAAAAACAGCUGGUUUGAAGCAUAUACCACAACCUGGAGGAAAGUACUGUGCAAGAUGUGGCUCAGCUGUCUCCCGCAGGCCCUUCCUCUUUCUGUGCGGCAGCGUUCUGAGGGAUGGUCACCGAGUAGGCUCAGUGAGUCCCAUGGAGGUAAAGAAAUAAAAUUAAUGCCCUGAAAUCAUUAGAAGGUUAAGAACAAGGAUGUCCAACUCAGAGAGACUGAAGAGCUCCAAAUAGGAGGUAAGAAUAUGUGGAAGAGGGGCACCUGGGUGGCUCAGUUGGUUAAGCAUCUGCCUUUGGCUCAGGUCAUGAUCUCAGGGGCCUGGGAUCAAGCUCCCUGCUCAGCAUAGUGUCUGCUUCUCCCUCUCCCUCUGCCUGCCACUCCCCCUGCUUGUGCUCUCUCGCUGUCUCUCUCUGUCAAAUAAGUAAAAUCUUAAAAAAAAAAAAAAAAAAGAAUAUGUUGAAGACAAACUUUACAUCUUUGUGCUUUCAUUGUGGUUACUCUACAAAGAUGCCCUAACCACCCCUCCUCCUUUUCUCCCUCACUCUGGCAGAUUUUCUUUGGCCACAUGAGCUCCUCAUCACAGGCAGGUUCAGGUCCAUCCAUACUUGGAGAUACCCUGUUACCUGUUUAUCCCUGAAUGUGUCAACACAGCUUCACAGAGCAAAUGAGCAAUAAAAUAUCUCAAACCGGAU
rnacentral:lncRNA from 1 species